rnacentral:rRNA from 1 species
AUGCUGAAUAUACCGGUUCUCGUUAGAUCACCGAAGUCAAGCAUCAUUGGGCGCGGUCAGUACUUGGGUGGGUGACCACCUGGGAACACCGCGUGCCGUU